CAGCUGUCUUCAAUUAGUAAACGAAGCUGAGGUGGGGUCUGACUGUUCACUUCAUCUGCUGUCCAAGGCGCUGUGAGCCAACUUCAGCGUCAUAUCAGGAGGUUUACCCUGGCCUGACUGCAGAAAUGUGUGUAUUUCCAGUGGUUUUUCUCAGCACUAUUGUGCUCCACUCUGUGUCAGCUGGAGGUGUGUAUUGUGCUAAAACAGCAAGAGCCCGUGCAGCUGCCUUGGGUUUGGACUAUCCUGGAGACCAUGGAGCACCUGACCUGCUGGGACCAUCUCAUUAUGGAGUGAAUCAUCAACAUUUCGACACCAGUUCCUCUGC